GAAUAUUGGACAAUGGGCGAGAGCCUGAUCCAGCCAUGCCGCGUGCAGGAAGACUGCCCUAUGGGUUGUAAACUGCUUUUAUACGGGAAGAAACACCCCUUCGUGAAGGGGCUUGACGGUACCGUAUGAAUAAGGAUCGGCUAACCCCGUGCCAGCAGCCGCGGUAAUACGGAGGAUCCAAGCGUUAUCCGGAAUCAUUGGGUUUAAAGGGUCCGUAGGCGGGUGCGUAAGUCAGUGGUGAAAGUCUGCAGCUCAACUGUAGAACUGCCAUUGAUACUGCACACCUUGAGUAAUUAUGAAGUGGUUAGAAUAUGUAGUGUAGCGGUGAAAUGCAUAGAUAUUACAUAGAAUACCGAUUGCGAAGGCAGAUCACUAAUAAUUUACUGACGCUGAUGGACGAAAGCGUAGGUAGCGAACAGG
rnacentral:rRNA from 1 species